GGAUUGCCCUAGUAACGGCGAGCGAAGCGGCAACAGCUCAAAUUUGAAAUCUGGCUACUUUGUAGUCCGAGUUGUAAUUUGUAGAGGAUGCUUUUGGUGAGGUGCCUUCCGAGUUCCCUGGAACGGGACGCCAGAGAGGGUGAGAGCCCCGUACGGUUGGAUACCAAACCUUUGUAUAGCUCCUUCAACGAGUCGAGUAGUUUGGGAAUGCUGCUCUAAAUGGGAGGUAUAUCUCUUCUAAAGCUAAAUAUAGGCUAGAGACCGAUAGCGCACAAGUAGAGUGAUCGAAAGAUGAAAAGCACUUUGAAAAGAGAGUUAAACAGCACGUGAAAUUGUUGAAAGGGAAGCGCCUAUGACCAGACUUGUUUCUUUCAGUUUUGUUAGUUCUCGGACUGAUUUACUCUGUUAGUACAGGCCAGCAUCAGUUUGUUGUCGGGGAGAAAGGCUUAGGGAAUGUGGCUCCUUCGGGAGUGUUAUAGCCCUUUGCAUAAUACCCUUCGGCAGACUGAGGACCGCGCUUCGGCAAGGAUGCUGGCGUAAUGGUCAUCAGCGACCCGUCUUGAAACACGGACCAAGGAGUCAACCUUAUGUGCGAGUGUUUGGGUGUAAAACCCCAGCGCGUAAUGAACGUGAACGUAGGUGAGAGCUUCGGCGCAUCAUCGACCGAUUCUGAUGUUCUCGGAUGGAUUUGAGUAAGAGCACACAGGGUUGGACCCGAAAGAAGGUGAACUAUGCUUGUAUAGGGUGAAGCCAGAGGAAACUCUGGUGGAGGCUCGCAGCGGUUCUGACGUGCAAAUCGAUCGUCAAAUAUGAGCAUGGGGGCGAAAGA
rnacentral:rRNA from 1 species